rnacentral:lncRNA from 1 species
GUUUCUGGCCCUGCCAGUGUCUCCGCCGGUUGAAAGCGCGUGUCUGCGUCGGGUUCUGUUGGAGUGCGUUCGGUGCGCCGUGGGUCCGCGCUGCUUCCACCCAACUUCCUGUUAGGUUACAUUAGUUAUACACUCUGGAGGUGACUUGACCUGUCAUUGUGAACAAUUAUUGCUCUUGGACGACCCAGGACAUAGGCCAGCCAGUACGUACCCCAGUGUGUUGGAGAAUCGCGCUCGGCUUCUUCCUCUGUGCUGAGUCAUGAAAGUUGCCGGAGCAGGUGCAGUUACACAACCUCCAGGUAUGAUCCUGUUUAAGGACUGGAUUUAGGAUAACUACUUAGAGGUUAAAAGUCACAAGGGUGUAUGGAUGAGGCUGGAGUGAUCUGGGACCAAAGACAUCUAGGCUUGCUGUCAAGGCUUCUGAUCAACAUGAGAUGACCGCCGUGUGGUAAACUGAUGAACCCUGACCCUGAUCAACAUGAGAUGACCGCCGUGUGGUAAACUGAUGAACCCCGACCCUGAUGAACGUGAGAUGACCGCCGUGUGGUAAACUGAUGAACCCCGACCCUGAUGAACGUGAGAUGACCGCCGUGUGGUAAACUGAUGAACCCCGACCCUGAUGAACGUGAGAUGACCGCCGUGUGGUAAACUGAUGAACCCCGACCCUGAUGAACGUGAGAUGACCGCCGUGUGGUAAACUGAUGAACCCCGACCCUGAUCAACGUGAGAUGACCGCCGUGUGGUAAACUGAUGAACCCCGACCCUGAUGAACAUGAGAUGACCGCCGUGUGGUAAACUGAUGAACCCCGACCCUGAUCAACAUGAGAUGACCGCCGUGUGGUAAACUGAUGAACCCCGACCCUGAUCAACAUGAGAUGACUGCCGUGUGGUAAACUGAUGAACCCUGACCCAUUAGGCUUUGGCUACAGAAUGUGGAAAUAAGUUGUGUUACUACAUGUGUGUAAUCCUAGGGUGCAGGACACCGGCCGGGAGGUUCCAUAGAGUGAUGGGUUCUGCAGGUAACUCAUCCUCUAGUCCUCUGUAAGCUCCUAGAAGGAAGAAAUUAUGUCCUUUAGACUAAUAAAAUUCCUCCAAACCAAAUACAGCACCUACUGUGAAGACACAAAGAUACUUUUAGAAUAGUAAAAACUUUAUCCAUUGAGAAAUUCCUUAAUGAAACAGUAUCCAAGAAGUCAUUUGCCAGCAGAUUUCUUAGAGGUGCGAUAAAGAAGAGGACAUUGCCAGUCGUCACAGCAGCUGCAAUAGCUCCUCUCUAUUGUUAAACAGUGGGAUAUCUUGUGCAGGUUUUCAGUUGACAAUCAAUUUUAAAGAUUAGUUUCGGUCCCCAUCAAUCAAUUAUUUAUUAACCCAUCAAUAAAAAUUUAAAUGCUCUGUGAGGUA